UACAGAGGUCCCGAGCGUUGUUCGGAUUCACUGGGCUUAAAGGGUGCGUAGGUGGCAUAGAAAGUUUGAUGUGAAAGCUCAGGGCUUAACCCUGAAAUGGCAUUGAAUACUGCUGUGCUGGAGGUUUGGAGGGGGGACUGGAAUUCUUGGUGUAGCAGUGAAAUGCGUAGAUAUCAAGAGGAACACCAGUGGCGAAGGCGAGUCCCUGGACAACACCUGACACUGAGGCACGAAGGCUAGGGGAGCAAACAGG
rnacentral:rRNA from 1 species